UUAUCAAAUAUUGUGUACUUUAUAUUUGAAAACUGUUGAGAUUUUUUAAAUAUGAAAGUAUUUUUUUGCAUUUCGAAAGUUUUUCGUUCAAUACGAAAGUAUUUUUUAUCGGGUCUGAGAGUAAAUUUAAAAGUCCUUCUUUUCAACCCGAAAGUUGUGGAACUGUCAAAUCGCCAAAAUGAGGAAACCGAGGAAUUUGUUACAUGACAGUUACAGUGCGUGCGAGAGAAAGAGAGCAAAACAUGUUUACAUUUUUCACAAUGUGAACAAAUAGUUCGUUCAUUUGCGUUUUCUCCCAUGUUCGAAGCAAGUUUAAAUUCCUAGAAGUAAUGACGCAUGGACAUUUGCAUACUGUGUGGAAGUUGCUGUACGCCAGCUCGGUCCUUAAGUGGUCAAUCUUCUGCCAGUGAUCAAGAUGAUUCUACACACAAAGUUUCGGCGGUGAUGGCAGUUUUUUUAACCAGCGGUAAAUGAGCCUUUAAGUUCCCAAAAUGUGGCUGUUUUGGCUUCCGGCUUUAUGACAGAAUUGCCACUACGGGAAGCUACCGGAAGAUGAAGGAAAAAAAACCCACGAGUCGCUGGGUUAGUUCGGAAGCGGCUAGUAACUGCAUCCAUGGAUUACUCGUUUGAUUAGAACUUGAUGAUGAGAUGAUGAAAUAUUAAAAACAAUGAUUUAAGUCGAUGAAAUAAAAAGGAAAAAAAAACAAUUACGAUUUAUUUGGAUUAAAAAAGGAAAGGUGCAUAGAAUGGGUGCAAAGUUUUUUGAAAGAUAAAUUUUCGUGUGAAAAUAUUCCAUUCAAUAUUUCCACAGUUUGAUCGUUUGGAUUUGACAGUUCUACAGUUUUGUUUUGAAUGCUCAUACUUUUAAUUUGAAGAGUGGUAUGCAGCUUUUAAACCAUCGUUGUCGCAAAAGUUGGCGUACUUUUGUUUUAAACAUACUCAACUUUCUACGAAAAAGAACCAACGAAACUUUUUAAUUUAACCAAUGUUUUUUUUAAUUUCAUCAAUGAUUUUUCUUUCUGUG